GUCACAAUACCUACAGCAAUUCAGCCGGAACAAAGUUUUACCGCUUCCCGUAGGCUCACUGAGAGAAAGAGAGACGCCAACGUUGGAAACAACUUGUUCGCCGUGACAAGUACACGGCCACUGUCGCAGCGUGCUUGCACUAGCUGGCUAUGCCUGCUCUGCAGUCGCAGGUCGCGUCAAUCACGCAUCUGUUUAGUGAAAGCUUAAA
rnacentral:lncRNA from 1 species